ACCGCACAAGCAGCGGAGCGUGUGGUUUAAUUCGUUGCUACACGAAGAACCUUACCUAGGUUUGACAUAUAGGUUGUAGGGAACUGAAAAGGGACCGACCCUUCGGGGAGCCUAUACAGGUGUUGCAUGGUUGUCGUCAGCUCGUGUCGUGAGAUGUUGGGUUAAGUCCCGCAACGAGCGCAACCCUCACUGUGUGUUAUAUGUGUCACACGGGACCGCCGGUCUUAAGCCGGAGGAAGGUGGGGAUGACGUCAAGUCAGCAUGGCCUUUAUAUCCUGGGCUACACACACGCUACAAUGGCCAACACAAUAGGUUGCUAAGCCGCGAGGUGGAGCCAAUCCAUAAAGUUGGUCUCAGUUCAGAUUGUAGGCUGCAACCCGCCUGCAUGAAGAUGGAGUUGCUAGUAACCGCAGGUCAGCUAUACUGCGGUGAAUACGUUCCCGGGGCUU
rnacentral:rRNA from 1 species